AUUUAACGACAAAAAUUUUGUUGCUGCGUUUAUUUUACUUAUCAAAACAUUCCAAAAGUUAAUUGCGACGGAAAUUCCGUCGCUCGAUUCUUAAAAAUAAUUUUGCCCAAGUUAUUAUUAGCGACAAAAUUAUUGCCGUAGCUAUUUCCGUCGCUAUUCCUUUUUAAAAUUAAAGUUUAUCUAGGGCACAAAUCUGCUUACAGACUCACAUUCUCUCUCUCUCUAUCAAACUCGCCCACUUUCUCUCAUCUUCAACAAUGUGAGAUUCUUGCUUCCAAUCCAACAAAUUGGGCAUGAGUCUAAGGCUCAUGUACCAUUGCCGCACUUUCCCUUCUCUUCCACCAUCGUCGGCCACCGUCUUGAGGUAAUCCUAACUCAUCUCUCUCUAUCUCCAUAUUAAUUUUUAUAUCUGUAUCUUUUUCUGCCAUCAUGGUGAUUCUGGUUUCACCAAUUUUGUUGUUUUUGUUACUCCCAUAUAUUUUUCUUCACCAACUAUCAAUCUUAUCCGAAUAUUUCUAAAUGAUUCGUUCAGUGAUUUAUUUUUUAUAUGUUUUUCUUUUCAUUCUAUUUCUUUCUAAUUACUUCUGUUGUUGAAUAUUUGAUGUUUAGAAUGAUAGGCUGUGCCAUUGGGAUUACGUGGUGUGUGUUCUAAGGUUUAGAUGCAUGUGUUUUGAUAUAUAUUGUUGUGGUUGUUUCGUUACAGAUUGGCAUUGUUCAAUCUAUUGUUCGUGAGGCCUAUUUCAAUUUUUACUCCUUUCUGAAAGUAAGCUAAUAGUUAAUCAAAUUUUUCUCUUUUCUCUUUAGUUAACUUUGGUGUUAUUAAAGAAUUUGCAGACGUUAAAUAGUUCCAUAAGGUCAGUUGAGUUUAAUUGUUUGGGUUUGUUAAAUUUAUUGUUACAUUUCAGUUAAACCAAUUUUUCUUUUCAAUUAAACCAAUUUUUCUCACCAACCUUGUCUAUAGGCCUGGAAUGAUAUUUUGAGAUACUAUUUAGCCUUGAAUUUUUGACAUCAAAUUUAUAAAAAUUUGAAAGGUUCAGUUUGUUGUUAUUUAAGAGAAUUAGUACACCUUUUUAUAAUUGGAUGCCCCUAUAAUGCUGUUAAAAUUGGUGUAGAUAUUAUGAGUUAUAUAUCUUGCGUAAGAAUUUUGGUAACAUCAGAAUAUAUAAAAAUUCUUUAUCACAUCUGAUUUUACUCAUUGUAGUUAAUGAUUUAAUACUUGAUUAGCUCCUCCUUGGUUGAAGAAAGCAAAUUAGCUUAUCCAUUCAUGAGAUUCUUUGUGUAUUAUACUAGUAACUAUUGUUAAAGAAUUAUUGUAACCUCAGAGUGUAUGAAAAAUUCUUGAUCAAAUAUUCUUUUUACCAUUUAAAAUUAAUGAUGUCAGAUUUUACUUGUCUCCUCAUCUGUUAGAAGAAAGCAAAUUAGCUUAUCCAUUUUCACGAGGCCUUUCUGAGUACUACAAUAGUGAUAUUGUAAAAAUAAACUCUUAACAAAUUAGCUUAUUUUUCUUGAGACACUCUAUGGACUAGAGUUGUUAAAUUAUUAAGGAUCUUUGUCGACUAUAGUUAUGAUAUUGUAAAAGUAUUGCUUUGUUUUAUCCCUUCCUGAUAUGUUUUAUGUCACCGCAAGAUGGAUGCUAACAUUCCUAACACUAAUAAGUAGUAAUGUAGCCAUGACUUGCCUUUACUUAUUUAAUUUUUGCUUUUAAAUUAGUUGAAGAAAAGAAUAAAACAAGUUGCCAUCCUUUUGGGAUUCUAACACUUUUUCUUCCUUAUGUUUCAGUUUAAAAAGGACUUUUGAAAGAAAUGGAGAUGUCUUGCCAUGUGAUAGUUGAAUAGGUUAACUUUUUUGCUAUAGUAUCAGUUCUGGAAAAGAUAGAUUCAGAUUUGCAAAGGUGAUCAUUUAUCUUGUUUAAUAGAAGUUUUAUGAGAUCAUUGUUUUGGGCAAUUUCUUCUAAUUGAUGUUACUCAGUUUCUGCACUAGAUGCCGCACGUUGAUAGCUUACAUAGAAAUGAGUUGCAAUAGUUUGUCUGGUUCCUCGUAAAGUUCUCAGAGCUCUGAAUUCCUUAAUCUAUCGAAGUAUCAUUGUAAUAAUUCUUCCCAAAUUACAAUCAAAAGACUAGCAAUAAUAGAGUUGAAUUUUCUUUUUGUACAAGAUGUCCGAUCAAUUACUGGCAACGGAAUGAUUGACUUAUGAAAAGAUGGAUCUGUGAAUCGUUGUCGCUAUAUUUAUUGUUUAAGUUAACGGAAUUAAUUCAAAUUAGGAGUGAUCUUAGUGUAGUUGUAUGUUGAUAUCUUUUUAAUUGUUCAAAAUUGUAAGGAGUACACUUAGUCGAUCGGUACUUUUAUUUUUUGUAUACCGUAUUGAAAGCAUUCACUUUACCUAUAAUUUAUUUAUUUCAAUAUUAAAUAGGAAUAUGGAUAAUCUAGAGCGUGAUUGUAGCCAUAAACUACUUGUAAUAAUAUCUAGCAGAUUGACUUUGCAUAGAAAGAAAGUGAUUAAAACCUGAUAUUUGCUAAUAAAUUUUAGAUGAAUAAUAUAAUUAGAUAUGCAUUGUAUCAUAUCCUUUUUUAUUUUUUAUAUAUUUUAUAGAUAUGCCUCGAGGGAGAGGUCAAGAUAGUGCAGGUCGUGUAAGCAAAUCUUCAGUUAGGGGUAAAUGUGCUGCUCGUGAAAACAUGCAUACUGUUUCUAUUCCCACAACUAGUCCUCAACAAGGUGGCACCAGUUCC
rnacentral:lncRNA from 1 species